rnacentral:rRNA from 1 species
UGGGGAAUUGUUCGCAAUGGGCGCAAGCCUGACGACGCAAUGCCGCGUGGAGGAUGAAGGUCUUCGGAUUGUAAACUCCUGUUGCCCGGGACGAACGUCUCCGACCUAACACGUCGGAGAGUGACGGUACCGGGUGAGGAAGCCCCGGCUAACUCUGUGCCAGCAGCCGCGGUAAUACAGAGGGGGCAAGCGUUGUUCGGAAUUACUGGGCGUAAAGGGCGCGUAGGCGGCCUGCUAAGUCGAACGUGAAAUCCCCGGGCUCAACCCGGGAACUGCGUUCGAGACUGGCGGGCUUGAAUUCGGGAGAGGGAUGCGGAAUUCCAGGUGUAGCGGUGAAAUGCGUAGAUAUCUGGAGGAACACCGGUGGCGAAGGCGGCAUCCUGGACCGACAUUGACGCUGAGGCGCGAAAGCCAGGGGAGCAAACGGG